CUCCGGUAGGCACUCAGUCUCAGUCUGAAUCCUACCUGACUUCCUAAUGGAAUUCAAAAUUCAGCUGAAUUUUGAGAUGUGCACCAUGUCCAAGCUUGAUGAACUAGACCCUGUUUCUGGAAUUACAGAGAGUUGUGAGCCACCAUCAGGGUGCUGGGAACUGAACACAGCUCUUCUGGAAGCCAACCCUAUCAUUUCGCUCUCUCCCUCUUCUCCUUCUCUUCUCUUCUCUUAUUUUGUUUUUUUUCCCAGACAGAAUUUCUCUCUGUAACCCUGGCUGUCCUGGAACUCACUUUGCAGACCAGGCUGGCCUCGAACUCAAGAGAUCUGCCUGCCUCUGCUUCUUAAGUCCUGGGAUUAAAGGCGUGUUCCACUAUCAUUUUCUUAAUAAAGACUUCUCGAAAUACCCAAAAGUUUGUUUCAGAUUCUACACUACAAGCUUAUGCCUAUCUACCAGUGUAUUUCGUCAUAUUACAUUAGUUUAUGAGACUAUUUGAAAAUGAUUGUAACCUCUAGGAAAGGGGCUAUGGUCACUCAGCACUUUAAUGUUUAAUACCAAACAUACUGGGUUUCAGUCUGUAUCCGGGCAUCAAUUUAGACCCCCAAUAUUUACCAGUUGUGUUAUCUUGAAGAAACUAUUUAGCCCAUUUAUGCCUGAUCCCCCUUGUCAAAUACAAGUCCAGGGGCUGGUAAGCCUUAGAAAUUAAGGGUGCCUACUAUUUUUCUAGAGGUUCUGAGUUUGGUACUCAGGGUCCACAUCAAGUGGCUCACAAUUGCCAGUAACUCCAGCGUUAGAGGAUCCAACACUUUUCCGGCCCCUGAGGGAACCAAACAUAGGUGGCACACACUGAUAAAAUGAAAGCUUUUUCUUAAAGACAGGGCAUUAACAGUAAUGACCUCAGUGUUCUGGGGUUGGAGAUUUAGCUCAGUGGUAGAGCACUUGCCUAGGAAGCGCAAGGCCCUGGGUUCGAUCCCCAGCUCCGAAAAAAAGAACCAAAAAAAAAAAAAAUGACCUCAGAGUUCUGUACAAACAUUAAAUGGUUCAUCAUAAAAUGCUUGCAGCACUGCCUGGGACGAGACGUUCUCCUAAAUGUCUGCCUCCCGCAAAGCCAAAUAGACAGGCCAGAAUUCGGCCUAACGAAAGAGGAAGGGCACGCAUAUGCAAAGCGUCUUAGAAGAGAUUUUGAAUCUCCUGGAAGCCUUUUCAAGAUGAAAACAGCAUCCAGUUCCAAGGCUAGAAGGAAAGGAUUUUCCUUUGCCGUGUGAUUUUACAAGGCCGCUGAGAGCAAGCCUUCAGCCGGAGUGGGAUCUCUGGACAGCCAGCCAGACACCGCGUCUCUUCACUGCUCAGUCUUUACAGAUGGGAGGCUGCCCGGCCUUAUAGACGCCACAAACUGAAACGCACAGUAAGCGUGCAGGCUCUAGACAGGGGCUGGAGCCCCAGCAGGGUCUCAACCCCGUCUAAACUCCCGAAGGCAGCGAAUAGAGGACAGGCGGCGCCCACCCCUACGCGGUCUAGCCGGCGUCCCCCCGCCCUUCCGCCCGGCCAGGAUAGUUCGGGACAACCGCUACUCUGUGUGGAGAAAUGGACUGCGUCAGACUGUCUGCACCAGCUGAUGAUGAUUUGCUUCACGCUCUAGCAGAGGUUACCUCUUCUCACUUUCAAGCUGUGUGAUGGAGAAGAUGGUAAGAAGCUCAGCUGAAAAUCAAGAAUGAAGUAAUGAGGGCUGGAGAGAUGGCUCAGUGGUUAAGAGCACUGUCUGCUCUUCCAGAGGUCCUGAGUUCAAAUCCUAGCCACCACAUGGUGGCUCACAACCAUCUGUACUGGGGUCUGAUGCCCUCCUCUGGUGUGUCUGAGACAGCGAUAGUGUACUCUAUA